CAAGGAGACCGGGUGGUCGCUCCCCGGGCGACUGGGGGGAGGAAAGUCCGAGCUCCACCGGGCAGGAUGCUGGCUAACGGCCAGGCGGGGUGACCCGACGGAAAGUACCACAGAAACAGACCGCCCGCCGGAAGGCGGGUAAGGGUGAAAUGGCGGGGUAAGAGCCCACCGGCGGACCGGGCAACCGGCCGGCCGGGCAAACCCCAUCCGGAGCAAGGCCAAAUAGGAGGGCAUAUGGGCGCCCGGCCCGCCCUCGGGUUGGCCGCUUGACACCGGCAGCGAUGCCGGCGCAGAGGGAUGGCCACCGCCCUUCCCUGUAAGGGCACAGAACUCGGCUUACAGGUCUCCUUGCCCC
rnacentral:RNase_P_RNA from 1 species